AUUAUAUUAUUGAUGGCAUUAAAAUUAAGCCUGUUUCUUAAUUUGGUUUUUAUCAAACUUAAUUCAAAAAAUUUUCUCUCAGCAGCAGCCGAGCUAUGAGGAAGUGACAUCAAGUUAUAAACGAAAUUACUUAAAUUUUUAAAACAAUAUUCAUUUAAACCAUUUUUAAGACAACUGACCUUUUGCCAAAAUUCUGAUAUGUCCAUUAUUUCCCUAAGAUUAUGAUCAUUAGAAAAUCUUAGCAUUUUCCACUCCAUGACCAAAUCUUCUGGAUCACCCUGAACCAAGUAAGAAAAACUGUUCAUUAAAGGAAAUAGUGGCACAUCAGAAUCCGACAAAACACUUCUCGGAGUUAUUAUAGACAAGUUUUUUAAAUCAUUAUUACUCAGAUCAAAUCUUAGUAGCAAUUGUUUUAAAAGUUCUAAAUAAAAAUUCAAAGCGUUUGUUUUUAUCUCAUUCCUAUCAAAAUUUGAGAGGUUUGAUUUUUUGAUAUAAUCCUCGGCUUUGCUUCCCAGAAAAACAUCUGUAAUAGAUUUUCCCAUUGAAUAAGCUAAAUCGUAUGAUUUUAUUCCGCUAAUUUCCAAAUAGCACGAAAGAAAAUAUAAUUGAAGUGCGUCCCAUUGUUCCACCACUCGAUUUAUAACGUUUUCUAAGGAGAGCCAUCUUGUCAACGAAAUACCUAAUAUUUUGUGCGGUGGUACUGCACAAUAGUCUUGAAAUUCUUUAAAGUUAUUGAUACGAUUAGCACUGCAUAGGCAGAGCAUAGAUGCAACGAAUGACAAGUGCAUUUAAGAAAAAACAUAUUGGAGUUGCUCUUAAGCUUGGCUUGCAGACCAUUCACCUCACCGGCCAUAACACUUGCACCGUCAGUUGACAGUCCAAUUAAAUUUUCAAAUGGAAUAUCAUUUUCAGAAAAAAAUGUCUUAAUGCUGUUGUAAAUGGUUUCAGCGUCACAUUUUAUAAGUUCAAUCAAACCCAAAAAUCUAUCUUUAAUAAUUUUGGAAUUCUUAUCGACAUACCUUACAACUAAAACUAAAGACUUUCUGGUUGAAAUAUCA